UUUAAAAAAGUGAUUUUCUCAACGACAGUAGCAGUUUCAACAGCCAAACAUACCCUAAUCAAUGAUCUAAGAAGCAGUCACGUUAUGAAACUCCAAUAUGUCCAUUGAGAUAUGCAUAUGGCUUAUGUAGAUUUCUCAGUUUCUGCAGCUGCCUCUUCCUCUUGCCACUUCUUCAAAGACGGAGGUGGCUUAACAACAAUGCUUUUCUUUCAUUGCCGAUCAAACUUUCUUGACAACCUCUUGUUGAUCCCCUCAUCAAUCUCUCUUUCCCGUUUAACGGUAAGCAUACGAGCAAUCUUCAAGGCUUCAACGGCAGUUGGCAGCGUCAACCGUCCAGUUCGCAACGCAGGUAAGAAUCGCAACACCACAUUUCUCUUCUUUUCUCUCUGAUCUG
rnacentral:misc_RNA from 1 species